rnacentral:rRNA from 1 species
CCUACGGGAGGCAGCAGUGAGGAAUAUUGGUCAAUGGGCGGGAGCCUGAACCAGCCAUGCCGCGUGAAGGCGAGUGCCCUACGGGCGUUAAACUUCUUUUGUGCGGGAGCAAUAAGGGCCACGCGUGGCCCGAUGAGAGUACCGCACGAAUAAGCAUCGGCUAACUCCGUGCCAGCAGCCGCGGUAAUACGGGGGAUGCGAGCGUUAUCCGGAUUUAUUGGGUUUAAAGGGUGCGAAGGCGGCGCUUCAGGUCAGCGGUGAAAUACCGGGGCUCAACCCCGGGGCUGCCGUUGAAACCGGAGCGCUAGAAUUCCGAUGCCGUCGGAGGAAUGUGUGGUGUAGCGGUGAAAUGCAUAGAUAUCACACAGAACACCGAUUGCGAAGGCAGCAUGCCGGCUCCACACUGACGCUGAGGCACGAAAGCGUGGGUAUCGAACAGGAUUAGAUACCCGUGUAGUC